CCUACGGGAGGCAGCAGUGAGGAAUAUUGGUCAAUGGCCGUAAGGCUGAACCAGCCAAGUCGCGUGAAGGAAGAAGGAUCUAUGGUUUGUAAACUUCUUUUAUAGGGGAAUAAAGGUAUCCACGUGUGGAUAUUUGCAUGUACCCUAUGAAUAAGCAUCGGCUAACUCCGUGCCAGCAGCCGCGGUAAUACGGAGGAUGCGAGCGUUAUCCGGAUUUAUUGGGUUUAAAGGGUGCGUAGGUUGUUUUUUAAGUCAGCGGUGAAAGUUUGUGGCUCAACCAUAAAAUUGCCGUUGAAACUGGAAGACGUGAGUGUGUUUGAGGUAGGCGGAAUGCGUGGUGUAGCGGUGAAAUGCAGAGAUAUCACGCAGAACUCCGAUUGCGAAGGCAGCUUACUAAGCCAUAACUGACACUGAAGCACGAAAGCGUGGGGAUCAAACAGGAUUAGAUACCCUAGUAGUC
rnacentral:rRNA from 1 species